AGGAGAAAAGUCAACUUCUGCAGUCUCACUGCUUCCUCCCAGGAUCACCGCACAAACAAUGCACGGUGACUCAUCCCGGUGACUCACAGCGCCGCGGGGCCUGAGGUCCUGCGGCAAAGGGCAAACGGCUCAUUAUUUGUCCUUUAUGUUCUCUGAGGUGGAGGAUCCCCCCCAGCCUGGCCUCAGCCUCCAUCCCAGAUGAAGAAAAGGAGGCUCAGAAGGAGGAAAUGCUAUGCCUUCAGACGUACGGUAUGAAACUGAACUCGGACAGAGAAGGACCCAGACUGACCAACCACCUUUCCUGCUCUUGGAGGGGAGGCUAAGCCUGACACAUAGGUCCUGCCUCCAGUACCUCCCAAAUGAAAAUAAAGGGACAAAGACAGCAGAAGAACAGACAACAGCUGCAGAAUUUUGGAAGCCAGAGUCAGAUGGGUGAGGGGACACGGACUUCCCUGACCGGAUAUAGUUAAAUUCGACAUUGUUGUUCAUUGUUGUGGGUCGAGUAGUGUCCCCCUAAAGCUCAUGUCCACCCGGAACCUCACUAGGUGAUCUAAUUUAGAAAUAGAAUUUUGCAGAUGUAAUUAGUUAAGUUAAAAUGAGGUUUGAGAGCACCUGGGUGGCUCAGCGGUUGAGCAUCUACCUUUGGCUCAGGUCGUGAUCCCAGGGUCCUGGGAUCGAGUCCCACAUCCGGCUCCCCACAGGGAGCCUGCUUCUCCCUCUGUGUCUCUGCGUGUCUCUCAUGAAUAAAUAAAUAAAAUCUUAGAAAAUAAAAAUAAAA
rnacentral:lncRNA from 12 species